UGGCACAAGACUCCUGCCUUUGGAGCAGCUUCUGAAAGGCCAGACAGGAUAUCCUAUGCUAUCUCAAAUGGUUUGAGACAACUGAGCAACCCACAUGAGCCGAUGAUGAAGACUGCUGAGUGAAGCAUGCUUGUAAUUUUAAAUCAAUCUCAGGGAUAACUCUGAUUAAAUCUCACUUCCACUGGCGUUGUGGUAAGCUCUAACUUAAAGGUUAAGCCUCACUCCUAUUUGAUCUGGAUUCUGCAGUUGAUGAACUCUAACCAUAAUCUGACGAUGACAUGUAUGUACCAUACAGAGGACAGAGGACUGUGGAUACAUGUU